rnacentral:rRNA from 1 species
GGGAAGUACGUGUCGGAUAUUGGGCGUAAGCGCGCGCAGGCGGUUUCUUAAGUCUGAUGUGAAAGCCCACGGCUCAACCGUGGAGGGUCAUUGGAAACUGGGGAACUUGAGUGCAGAAGAGGAGAGUGGAAUUCCACGUGUAGCGGUGAAAUGCGUAGAGAUGUGGAGGAACACCAGUGGCGAAGGCGACUCUCUGGUCUGUAACUGACGCUGAGGCGCGAAAGCGUGGGGAGCGAACAGGAUUAGAUACCCUGGUAGUCCACGCCGUAAACGAUGAGUGCUAAGUGUUAGAGGGUUUCCGCCCUUUAGUGCUGCAGCAAACGCAUUAAGCACUCCGCCUGGGGAGUACGGUCGCAAGACUGAAACUCAAAGGAAUUGACGGGGGCCCGCACAAGCGGUGGAGCAUGUGGUUUAAUUCGAAGCAACGCGAAGAACCUUACCAGGUCUUGACAUCCUUCGCUACUUCUAGAGAUAGAAGGUUCCCCUUCGGGGGACGAAGUGACAGGUGGUGCAUGGUUGUCGUCAGCUCGUGUCGUGAGAUGUUGGGUUAAGUCCCGCAACGAGCGCAACCCUUGAUCUUAGUUGCCAGCAUUCAGUUGGGCACUCUAAGGUGACUGCCGGUGACAAACCGGAGGAAGGUGGGGAUGACGUCAAAUCAUCAUGCCCCUUAUGACCUGGGCUACACACGUGCUACAAUGGAUGGUACAAAGGGCUGCAAGACUGCGAAGUCAAGCCAAUCCCAUAAAACCAUUCUCAGUUCGGAUUGCAGGCUGCAACUCGCCUGCAUGAAGCCGGAAUCGCUAGUAAUCGCGGAUCAGCA